GCCUCACCCCCGGUUAGCUCAGUUGGUAGAGUGCUCCACUGGAAAUGGAGAGGUACCGGGUUCGAUACCCGGACCAGGCG
rnacentral:tRNA from 1 species